rnacentral:tRNA from 1 species
GCCCUCGUAGCUCAGUUGGUCAGAGUGCGUCCUUGGUAAGGACGAGGUCGUCGGUUCAAUUCCGACCGUGGGCUCCA